rnacentral:lncRNA from 2 species
AUGAACGAGGACAUUGUUCAUGUGAAGAAAUCACCACGCUUCUCCAACACAUCAGAUCAGUCUAGAGGUCAAGAAAAGGGCUUAGCUACUAGUGCACGUGUGGGUGUACAAAAGGCUUCAGUUCAGAAAAAUGUUAUUGAACCUAGGGGGCAUGCACGUGUACAACAACUAGAAAAUUUACACCAU